rnacentral:rRNA from 1 species
CCCUUAGAGUUUGAUCCUGGCUCAGAUUGAACGCUGGCGGCAUGCCUUACACAUGCAAGUCGAACGGUAACAGGUCUUCGGAUGCUGACGAGUGGCGAACGGGUGAGUAAUACAUCGGAACGUGCCCGAUCGUGGGGGAUAACGGAGCGAAAGCUUUGCUAAUACCGCAUACGAUCUACGGAUGAAAGCAGGGGACCGCAAGGCCUUGCGCGGACGGAGCGGCCGAUGGCAGAUUAGGUAGUUGGUGGGAUAAAAGCUUACCAAGCCGACGAUCUGUAGCUGGUCUGAGAGGACGACCAGCCACACUGGGACUGAGACACGGCCCAGACUCCUACGGGAGGCAGCAGUGGGGAAUUUUGGACAAUGGGCGAAAGCCUGAUCCAGCCAUGCCGCGUGCAGGAUGAAGGCCUUCGGGUUGUAAACUGCUUUUGUACGGAACGAAAAGACUCCUUCUAAUAAAGGGGGUCCAUGACGGUACCGUAAGAAUAAGCACCGGCUAACUACGUGCCAGCAGCCGCGGUAAUACGUAGGGUGCAAGCGUUAAUCGGAAUUACUGGGCGUAAAGCGUGCGCAGGCGGUUAUAUAAGACAGAUGUGAAAUCCCCGGGCUCAACCUGGGAACUGCAUUUGUGACUGUAUAGCUAGAGUACGGUAGAGGGGGAUGGAAUUCCGCGUGUAGCAGUGAAAUGCGUAGAUAUGCGGAGGAACACGAUGGCGAAGCAAUCCCCUGGACCUGUACUGACGCUCAUGCACGAAAGCGUGGGGAGCAAACAGAUAGAUACCUGGUAGUCACGCCCUAAC